rnacentral:rRNA from 1 species
CCUACGGGGGGCAGCAGUAGGGAAUCUUUCACAAUGGGCGAAAGCCUGAUGGAGCAACGCCGCGUGCAGGAUGAAGGCCUUCGGGUUGUAAACUGCUUUUAUAAGCGAGAAAUAUGAUGGUAACUUAUGAAUAAGGAUCGGCUAACUACGUGCCAGCAGCCGCGGUCAUACGUAGGAUCCGAGCAUUAUCCGGAGUGACUGGGUGUAAAGAGUUGCGUAGGUGGGAUAAUAAGUAGCUAGUGAAAUCUGGUGGCUUAACCAUUCAGACUAUUGGCGAAACUGUUAAGCUCGAGACCGUUAGGGGUAACUGGAAUUUGUAGUGUAGGAGUGAAAUCCGUAGAUAUUAGAAAGAACACCAAUAGCGUAGGCAGGUUGCUGGGACGGUUCUGACACUAAGGCACGAAAGCGUAGGGAGCAAACGGGAUUAGAUACCCUAGUAGUC